rnacentral:pre_miRNA from 1 species
AGGAGGAACAACCACAGUGACCUCCGCCAGCUCUGGAGCCCUGGUUUCAGCUCCCGCAGUAACUAUGGAGCUCGGAGCUCUCGGUCUGCAGGGGCCUGGAUGCUCCGGGGGUGG